rnacentral:rRNA from 1 species
UAAGACUGGGAUAACUUCGGGAAACCGGAGCUAAUACCGGAUAAUAUAUUGAACCGCAUGGUUCAAUAGUGAAAGACGGUUUUGCUGUCACUUAUAGAUGGAUCCGCGCCGCAUUAGCUAGUUGGUAAGGUAACGGCUUACCAAGGCAACGAUGCGUAGCCGACCUGAGAGGGUGAUCGGCCACACUGGAACUGAGACACGGUCCAG